rnacentral:lncRNA from 1 species
AUGGUUUUUCGUGGGGGUUUGUCAAAGAUGUCUACAACACCAAGGUGGCAAACCUGUACAAUCUUCAUUCUCGGAUCACAGCUGCAUGCGCACUGGUGGACGCAUCAUGAUGAGCCGAACAUGGUUCGUGUUUUUUGCAAGGACUGCUGGACCGACAACCACCAAACAGCUUCAAACACAAUGUUGUUGCAGUUCUGUGAAACAGGUACUCCCCCAAGGCAAUAUAGCUGUCUCGUGACUGAUUCCAUGACCUUGGUGAUGAUUGGAAGUAAAUAUUUUCGUUGUGCUCCUGAAAAUGUGUGUCAAAAAUUAUGUGUUGUGCUUGGUCAAAUAUUUUCGUUAUGCUCAGUGAAGUUACACUUUCUACUUUCUGCACAUUCCUUAAUCUUUUCUUCUCUCAAUAUAAUUGUCCGAACAAUAUAGCACCCAACAUAUAGCUGUCCCGAGACAGUUAUUUCAUUAGUAUUCAUUUUAGAUAGCCCAUCCCUUAUGUCUAGGGGGUUUAUGGGUCAUAAGCGGUGCAUGGGCCUUCAGUUAAGUCUUUAUCCCCAUCUUUUACUUUGCUGCACACAACCUCUCCUUCAUGCAUACACGCAAGCAGUUCAUUAGAAUAUGCCGCCAAAACCUCAUUCAAACUUCGGCCAUUCUCCAAUGACACAUCACCUCAGACCUUUGCCCAAUCGAACCCCAAUGCUACAACAUUUCUACAACCACCACAACACCUUUAUAAAAAUCCCCACAACAACCCAGGCUCACUUGCCAUCACCAUCAACCACUACAACCACGAUGCCACCACUACAAACAUCUCAACCACAUUCACCUUCACAGCUGCCCACCACUGCCCUUUGGAGGUGGCGGGGAGCAUUGCAGAUGCUUAUGCCCGGGACGUUCUGGCGUGUAGCUUGAAGAGCAAGUGUGCGCUAAAAUCCGCUCAACAUCGUAUGGAUAGCCCGAGCGCUCCGCUCAAAUACUGCCCCCAUUGGGUGUCUAAUGCAUGUUCAUGGCCGGGAAGCGCGAUCAAGUAUCCCGCCCUAUGUUAUACUCAGAGCUCAGCCACAUGAUGAGGAUUUAGAGCAAAUGAGGCCAAUUCUGAUACCAGGUUCUCGCAUGGGCAGGGCCAACAUUUGGGUAACUGUCCAUACACCAAUGGGGGCACUCAGAAACUCCAACAGUCCAUCAUAAUCUGCCUUUAGGCUCCUUCCUCGCCAAACAACUAUAAGAGAGCGAUCGAGAGAAAGAGAGAACACUUUUGGCUUGGUCGGCAGUAUGGGACAAAAGAUGGAACUGAGCAGGUGGAAGGAGCUCAUGGAACAGAGCAUGUGGAGCCGAGCGCUAGCUGGGCGAGCGAUCCAGACACCGUACCAGGCGCAUACAUUAGGGCCAAGUCGAUAACAAAUUUGCACGCACAGAUAAUCUCACACGAAAGAGCUUUCUCACACGUUUUGUCUCUUGUUUUCCAUCUCACCCGCUGUGGAUCCAUAAGAGUGAUCCGUGAGGGCAAGUCCCGACCAACCAUUUUUUUUCAGAGCGACCCCACAGACACACACUUCUUUUCAUUUUCUUCUCUGCGCCUCAUCCGCAUUUCAACUGCACCUCACCCCUCACCACGCCCCUCAUCACACCUCCUCAGUGAUUGGGUUGCAUUGGUCCAUCAACUGCACCUGGUAUCAAAGAGGUUGCCCCCCCCCCCCCCCCCCCCCCCCCCCCCCCCCCCCCCCCCCCCCCCCCCCCCCCCCCCCCCCCCCCCCCCCCCCCCCCCCCCCCCCCCCCCCCCCCCCCCCCCUCUCUCUCUCUCUCUCUCUCGCUCUCUCUCUCGCUCUCGCUCUCGCUCUCGCUCUCUCCUUGGGAUAUGCUUUUGAUGGCACAUGUCUUGUAUAGUAUAAGUUAAGAGUGUGUAAGUUCAUUAUAUUGGUAUAGUUCUGCCCUGUCUCUUGUUCUUUUGUAAAUAUUUGCAUUUAUUUUGCUUCACUUGUUGUAAUAAAUUUGCUUGUAUAAAUGUACCCAACUCGUAGCAUCUUUUCCCCAUUGGUCUUGCAUGGGCCACACGUAGAUUUAGCUGGGAAGUUUUACUCCACCAAUUUUCUCUUGUUAGCCAGUGCGUACUCGGCAACUCUGCUCGGCUACACUUGAUUUGGCAAGUUAACUUGUGUACUCAUCGAGGACACAAGACCCCCCCUUGAUGCCGCCAAUUCACCAGAAAAGGUGACAUUUAAAGUAGUGCAAACACUGCCAGGAUUGGCAGUACCAUUCAGCACUCGUGGUUGAUUAGCAACCCGCCGGCGUGUGGAGUUAUCUGUGCUCGGUGACCUCAGGACCAGAUGUUCAGGAGGAACUCGACUCGAGCGCUUCUCCUUGUGGCUAAACUCGAACCCCGGAUCCGUAACAAUAUGUUAUCCUUACUAUAAUUCACGGACCGGUGUAUGUGUGUUUGUGGGUUGUUUGUUGUGGGUUUGUUUAUUGGGCUGCUCCGCUUACAACCUUGGCCCAAUUACAUCUCGACUUGCUACAGAGGAGCAGCUUUACCCCAAUUAAUGUAUAGGGGUGUUUUUAUCUUUGCCAGUGGUCUUGGGAGGGGGAGGGGGAGGAGUGAGGGGACGACACAAAUUCUCUAUGUAAAUGUGCAUCGCGUAGUGCCACCUCCAGGUGGAGAAUGGUAUAACAAGUCUCCACCAUUUACACUACAGUGUUCGUGUCACCACAUUUUCCAGUCCAGUGAGCUGUUUUGAAUUAUAAUCAGUAGGUAUGUUUUUACUUCAUGCAGGUAACCUGGUAUAUAUUUUUUUUUUUCUGAAACAGAGCUGUCACUUGUCUAUACACUGCCCAAAUAUAGGUGUGCAUCAGAAGAACGCGUUGCAUGCUUGGAACAAGGUUGC